GUAAAAAUUUUGUAUGUUAAAGUCUUCUUUUAGCUAUCUUGAAUACUGCUUCCCAUUUCUACAAAGCAUAACCUGUGUUAGCAUAUGACAGCUGGAAGGAUGCAGAAGAAAAUUGACUGAAGGGAUGGGAGAACUCGUGAAGGACGGUGUGGGACUGGUGAGUGUUGAGAAGUAGAAAUGGCACUGUUGCCAAGUGUUCAUCAAACUACAGCCUACAAGCUUUAUCAGGUCUGGUCUAAGAAAAAGCCCUUCUGAGAGGAGCAGACCCUUUCCUGGUAGUAGUAAUGACAAUCAUCAGUUUCCAGGGUGAGCUGGUUCAAGGUGCUAAACUGUCAGAAGAUUAACCCUGUAAAGAAGAUAAAUAACUCACCUGUGGGACUUGACUUAGCCAGUGAGAAUAAUGGUGUAAGAAAAGAGAGGAGUAGGACAGGAAUGUUAAAAAUCAUGUUGUCACAGUCUCACUGCUUUUCUUUCACAGUUCAUAAAGCUUUUGAGGCAGUGAGCUGCCACAUUUGACUUUUAGCCCCUUCUUAACUGAGGUUUACUGUGUCUACAUUUCAAGUCAACUCCUUUACUAAGCAAUUUGGAGGAAAUGUGUGUGUGUUGUCCCCAGAUCACACCUUCUGUAGGUGUCUUCUAACUUUAAAUUACUACUCAAUUUUUUUCUUUACAAAAAUAAAGCUUCUGUAUGUUCUCUCAGACCUGAGGUCCAGAUGAUAAACGAGUCCUGCAGCAGCAUUAAGACCCACUUUCUGUGGGCCUGGGUUUUAUGGUUGCUGAGUCCUAGAAGUACAAAGCCACUACCAAAGAUUAUGUCAGGGCAGUUGCUGACAAGCAGAGUAGUCAUAAAAUAGAUGAUACAAAACCCCUUAAGAAUGUAAAUACAUCAAGUAGGAAGUGUAUGACAGGAUUCCUCCAUAGCUGAGCAUCCCUAUUGUGGUGCAGGAAAGGACUUUUCUGACUGCUGUUCAUUGAACAGAGAAUGUGAAAAGCACUUUCCACAGGGAAGGAAUGAUGUACCAAUUAAGGCCAGAACGUCUCGAGUUCUCUGUUUACUGGAAGCUCAGAUAACAGAAGAAAGUCUUGUUUUACUCUUCCUAGGGAGUUACCUUGUACUAGACUACCAGUAGUCUGUGAGAUUGAGCUGGUAUUUUCAAUUAAGCUCUUGAAAAUAAAUGAAUAUUCUUAGCAAGCUUAACUAUAGAAAAACUAUACCACACUGCAAGGACUUGCUACCUGGAAGAAACAAGCAAUCCAUUUUCAACAGAUAGGUUGUCACAAGAUGGCAGUGCAUUAAUAGUCUUAAAAUAAAAUUACAACCGAAAUUUACAGCUACACAAAGGCUACAGCCGAAUUCCUUUCAAGUUAUGAAAAGAACAGAUAAAACUAAACUGACAAACUUCUGAACCUUGUUAGUGUGCAAUCCAGUACCAAAGCUAAACAGAGAAGGAGGCUAAUUUAUGGACUAGGAGGCACUAUCCAACCUAGAGAUGCCCCCAAACAAGGUGUUUUAAAGAUAAGCAUGAACUUAACAUGGAAAACACUAAUGACACUGGAAGGCUCCUACAAUGGGAAGCAUAUGUAAGAUGCCCUUGGAGUACUGCAAGAAAGGAAUGUAGGGAGUAGCUUUAUGGUUAAUGGUUGCAGCUAUGAGCUGUGGGAGAGCAGAGAGACUCCCAAUUAAGAUAACUGGGUUUUGUGAAGAUGGGAACCCAGAGAGCAAACAAUAGUAUCAGAAGCCCAGACGAUAAAGAAAACAAUGGGUUUGCUCCUAAUGCUGACUGACCUGAUCUGCAGCGAAGAUGGAUCUGUUCUGGAGAGCAGAAUCCUUGUAAGCACCCGACCCAACAUUUAUGACAAUUGUAAUCUUUCACCACAAAUGCUUAAUAGCUGCUAGUGCUUAAUAACUCAGUGUUGCUCUACUGAGUUACUCUAUCAAUGUGAAUUGGGAUUAGGUUUCAGAAGGGGAAUUAUUAGUUCUACUAAUUAUGUUGCCCAGGGGCUCCAUCCAACUUUGAGCGCCAGGUCACAGCAAAGACAGGAACUUACAGUUUUCAUAUCCCAAACAAGUUAAUGAGGAAAAUUUUUCAAGCAGAACUGCUGCAAAAGGUGUCUUUAAUGUCUUCAGCAUGUUUUCCAUCUGCGAAGACAGAAGCUGUAAAUAGCUCUCUAAUGAGAGAAGGGAAUCUACAUGGUUGUGGUUGCUCUGUGAGAGAAGAAACAAACACUUCAUGAAGCACAGUUAUUUUACAUAAAAGGAGGUAAAAAUCCAAGUCUGUGAGGAAAUAGAGCACAGCUCUGUAAAAUACUGCUGCUGACCCCUGCCAUCAAGUCUUUGUCCUGAUGGGACAACGUCAUGUUGCUAGAACAAGCAGAACAACUCCAUGGCAGGAGCAUCCGUACUCCGCCCCACAACAGCAGAACUGGGCUUCCCUGCUCUUCAAGGCUGCACUUACCCACCACUUUGGAAAAAUCAAGUAUUGUUUCAAAGCCUAUCUGCCAGGGCAGCGGUGAGCAGAGGCGCUGGCAAGAAACCUGGAUCCGAUGUUCUCUGCUCUUACAACAUCUCAAGAAGACAGAAUGGUCUUUUCAUUGCAGCUCUCAGAGAGAACAAAACCCAAAGUGCAGACGUUUCCGUUUAACAUUAUUAUUUCUCCACCUUGUAAUUACAAUACAUGUUAAGAUCUGAACAAUCCAUUUUCCCAAAUGUAAUUCUACAUCUGUGCAUCAAUCUUUACAUGAAUGGUGAAAACAGUGUAAUUUAGCAUCCACACCUCUAGUGUCUGUAGGUCCCAAAAAAAAUCCUUGCCCACGAAUGUACCACCUUCACGAUGGAGAAACUAAAACCAAAUUGACAAAUG